rnacentral:tRNA from 1 species
ACGGCCAGUAGGCGAGGCAGUCGCGCGCCUUCCAGGCGCCGAUCUUCUGGAACCAUGGGUCGAGGUUGGAUUUCUCCGGCCGCG